UGGGAGGUGGUGCUUGGGCCUUUUUAGGUAGUGGUUGGGUAUAGUUUCAUAGAAAAGCUCUGUGAAGGUUAAUUAGCUUUUCCUUUGAAGGUUUCCCUCCAGCUGUAAGAGGUGCUGGUUUUAAAUAUGCAGUGAGUGGCAACAUGGAGAGACUGAAUAAUGUAGCUGAGCAGUUCUGUUGAGGGGUUGCUGCUGGAAAGUGUAGAGGAAAGCACAGCAGAAAACAACUCUGUUACUGCUGUUAACCUUGUGGCAAGGAACUGGAGGGGCUCUUCUGAAAGGCAGAGCUUGCACAUGUAAAAAGCUUCAGCUGCCCGAGGGACCUGCUGCAAACAAUCUGUUCUGGCAAAUUAGGACUAGAUCUUAUAGAUUGCACAGUGCUAAUUGAUGUCUUACCAUGGACCAGCUUGCAGCCAGCUGUGGAUCUGAAGAACUUCUGUGAUUUCCAAGCAGCUGGAGUUAUUGUUCUGAUCACAGAUGAUGGUUGUUGCUUUGUCUGGUCCUUUUUCUUCUGGCUUGCUUAUAUCUCAGUCAAAUGAAAAGCUCAUGCAAGCUAACAAGCUUGUGCAGUUAAGACAUGCCAAUUGCUUUCCUUCAUAAUGUAGACUGAUACGAUCAUAACUCAUUUUUAUGGCUUUUGUCAAAUUACAAUUGCUGCUAAAUAAAGUGUUUAAUCCUGUGUCAAGAAGAGAAUGUAAUUUGUAUUAAGAAAUAAAAAUAGACUUGUAAUUCUUGUCUUCUCUGUUUAAGCGACGUGCACUCUUUGCAUGCCAGUAAAGUGCUUGCAAGGUAAUAUACUUACACAGCAAUCUAACAUCCAUUCACA